rnacentral:rRNA from 1 species
CCUACGGGAGGCAGCAGUGGGGAAUAUUGCACAAUGGGCGCAAGCCUGAUGCAGCCAGGCCGCGUGUGUGAAGAAGGCCUUCGGGUUGUAAAGCACUUUCAGCGGGGAGGAAGGCGUUAAGGUUAAUAACCUUGUCGAUUGACGUUACCCGCAGAAGAAGCACCGGCUAACUCCGUGCCAGCAGCCGCGGUAAUACGGAGGGUGCAAGCGUUAAUCGGAAUUACUGGGCGUAAAGCGCACGCAGGCGGUCUGUCAAGUCGGAUGUGAAAUCCCCGGGCUCAACCUGGGAACUGCAUUCGAAACCGGCAGGCUAGAGUCUUGGAGGGGGGGGUAAAAUUCCAGGUGUAGCGGUGAAAUGCGUAGAGAUCUGGAGGAAUACCGGGGGGGAAGGCGGCCCCCUGGACAAAGACUGACGCUCAGGUGCGAAAGCGCGGGGAGCAAACAGGAUUAGAUACCCUUGUAGUC